AGUGAACGCUGGCGGUAGGCCUAACACAUGCAAGUCGAACGGCAGCACAGUAAGAGCUUGCUCUUACGGGUGGCGAGUGGCGGGCGGGUGAGGAAUACAUCGGAAUCUACUUUUUCGUGGAGGAUAACGUAGGGAAACCUACGCUAAUACCGCAUACGACCUACGGGUGAAAGCAUGGGAUCUUCGCACCUUGCGCGGUUGAAUGCGCCGAUGUCGGAUUAGCUGGUUGGCGGGGUAAAGGCCCACGCAGGCGAGGAUUCGUAGCUGGUCUGAGAGAAUGGUCGGCCACACUGGAAGUUAGACGCCGUCAAGACUCCUACGGGACGCAGCAGUCGGGAAUAUUGGGCAGUGGGCGCAAGCCUGAUACAGUCAGAGCACGUGUGUGACGAAGGCCUUCGGGGUGUAAAGCCCUUUUGUUGGGAAAGAAACGCUGCCGGUUAAUACCCCGCGGGUCUGACGGUACCCGAAGAAGAAGCACCGGCUAACUUCGUG
rnacentral:rRNA from 1 species